AGGCGACGGAGAGAAGAGAGGGAGAAGAUUGGUUCUUGUUGCAGGAUUCUAAGCAUGUUGUGAAAACUGAUGCUGGUGAUAUGAGAGUGGUGAAGAAUUUUGGUGGCAGGAUUUUGGAGAGGCCUAUGCAUAUUGGGUUCAUUACUAUGGAGCCCAAGUCUCUUUUUAUACCUCAGUAUCUUGAUUCCAACUUGAUCAUUUUCAUCAGUAGGGGUACGCUUGUAGUUUUUAUAUAUAAUCUCUUUUCUGUUUAAUAGUUGCAUGUCGGUCAUUCUGUCAAAAUUGCAGUGAUUUUUAGGGACUUCAGGAACAAGGCAGUCUUUCAUAUUUAAAUAGUUAAUGGGUGUAAAUAGUGUAGGAAGUAUGCAAGUUUGAAUUAUUAGUAUCAAAUGAUCACUUGGAAGACUCAAAAGUUAAUAUAGGCAUUUAGUUUAGUUGUGAUUCUUUUAAGCAGUAAACACUAGUGAUUGAAUAGGCAGAUAGGAUACCACUAAGACACUAUUAACCAAACAUAAUAAAGACUGUAUCUGUGAUUUUAGAUAAAAGAAACUUGGAUAAACUCAUGAUCCAUACUAGUGGAGUCAGAGAAGGUUGGUCAUUAUGACAGAAUAUAAGAACUUACAUUUUUAUGAUACUUCCGUCUAAUGCUAGAAUUAUAAUGGGUUUGGAACAUGAUUGAUUGGGCUGCAGGAGAAGCAAAGAUUGGACUGAUAUACAAAAGUGAGUUGGCUGAGAGGCGACUGAAGAUGGGAGAUAUAUAUAGAAUCCCAGCUGGUUCAGCCUUCUACUUGGUGAACACAGGUGAAGGACAGAGACUUCAUGUGGUUUGCAGCAUUGACCCAUCUGAGGGCUUGGGAUUGGGUGCUGUCCAGGUACCUUAACCUCUUCACUGAAAGGGAUUUUGAUAUUUGUAGCUACUGAAUCAGAAACUGCCAUUUUUAUGCCUGGAGACUCAAAAUUUAUUCAUGGUUCAGUAAAGACCAGAUAAGAUUAUUAUAUUAAUAUUGAGACUUGGAAUCUUAGACUCUUCUCUCUAUCAUAACUGCUGAAUUUAUUGUUUCUUUGUAUUUGCAGUCUUUCUUCAUUGGUGGAGGGACGUAUCCGACAUCUAUUCUUGCUGGUUUUGAGCCAGAAACACUUGCAACAGCCUUUAAUGUAAGAUUCUGAAAAAAGAAGACUCAAGUCUUUGUUACUAUAAAUUUUUAGUUUGUUUCAGCUGACUCACUGAUUGUCCGUUUCAGAUAACAAUGGAAGAAGUAAGGGAGCUCACGAGCAGGCAAAGUGAUGGUCCAAUCAUAUAUCUAGAGGACUCCCGAGCACCAAGGAUAUGGACAAAAUAUUUUCAAAUGAAGGAGAAAGAGAGGCUGAAGCAUAUGAAGAGAAUGAUGGAUUUCCAAAAUGAACCCAUGGAAGAAGAAGAGAGAACAUCAUGGGCAUGGGGGAGACUAUUGAAUUAUGUAUUGGGACAGGAAAAUGAGAAGAAAAGGCACGACAGAAAAGGUAAAUCCCCUGAUUCUUACAACAUCUA
rnacentral:lncRNA from 1 species